CGGUACUCAGGCCCUAAUGAUAAACGGAGCAGAUCCAGUAGAGCCUCGCACCAUCGGUACUCAGGCCCUAAUGAUAAACGGAGCAGAUCCAGUAGGGCCUCGCACCAUCGGUACUCAGGCCCUAAUGGUAAACGGAGCAGAUCCAGUAGGGCCUCGCACCAUCGUUACUCGGGCCCUAAUAAUAAGACUAAUCCUAAAGAAAACAAUAGGGCUUUCGCACUUUCAGUGCUUGGGCCCUAAAAACACAACCAAUCUAUUAGCAAAGAAAAUCUCAGAAAACUGUUUUUUCUACAACCAUCAGAGGGAGACAUUUGAUCAUUAUUGUGUCCUCUGCCGCACGGGAUUGUGAGAAGCAGAUGUGCUCUGUAAGUGCAAGUCUGUCGAGGUCAUACGGUACCGUAGAGAGAAAGAGAAACGAUUAUCUUCGGUCUAACGGACUCGGGAUUAUUCAUAAGAAUUCAGCAUUCUCAGUAAACAGCAGUGAGAUUGCAUCCAUUAACAAAUUAAAACCAAGUACAAAACACGACAGGCACUUGCAUCUGGGAUUUUUCUUCUUCCUGUGGAUAGGGUUAAACCAGUACUGUUCCAUCUCAGUGUCACUGAUUAAAUGUAUAGAGAACAAAUUACUCGAUGCUUUUUCAAAACUCGAAGAAAUCCAGCCCGUCCCUCCGGCGUUCUCUCCAAAUCCACACCUCAAAACAUUCGUACUCACUUUCCGAACUGACAGGCAAGGAAAUGUCUCGUUUUCCUAAAUGGUUAGAUGUUUGUGGUCCACAUCAUGAGUUUUCAGAGCCCGAGACGUCACACAGAGCGAGGUUUCUCC
ensembl:lncRNA